rnacentral:ncRNA from 1 species
CGACAACAUAGCUCUAUUCAGCAUGAGUGUAAUGGUAUAAGCCUGCCUGACUAUGAGACCGACUAAUCGAAUAGAGACGAAAGUCGGCCAUAGUGAUCUGGGAGUCCUAUGUGGAAGGGCUCUCGCUUAA